rnacentral:rRNA from 1 species
CUACGGGCGGCUCCAGUGGGGAAUCUUGGACAAUGGGGGCAACCCUGAUCCAGCCAUGCCGCGUGAGUGAUGAAGGCCUUAGGGUCGUAAAGCUCUUUCGCCAGGGAUGAUAAUGACAGUACCUGGUAAAGAAACCCCGGCUAACUCCGUGCCAGCAGCCGCGGUAAUAAGGAGGGGGUUAGCGUUGUUCGGAAUUACUGGGCGUAAAGCGCGCGUAGGCGGACUGAAAAGUGUGGGGUGAAAUCCCAGGGCUCAACCCUGGAACUGCCUUGCAAACUAUCAGUCUAGAGUUCGAGAGAGGUGAGUGGAAUUCCGAGUGUAGAGGUGAAAUUCGUAGAUAUUCGGAGGAACACCAGUGGCGAAGGCGGCUCACUGGCUCGAUACUGACGCUGAGGUGCGAAAGUGUGGGGAGCAAACAGGAUUAGAUACCCCAGUAGUC